GAUGAACGCUGGCGGCGUGCCUAAUACAUGCAAGUCGAGCGAACAGACGAGGAGCUUGCUUUUCUGAUGUUAGCGGCGGACGGGUGAGUAACACGUGGAUAACCUACCUAUAAGACUGGGAUAACUUCGGGAAACCGGAGCUAAUACCGGAUAAUAUUUUGAACCGCAUGGUUCAAUAGUGAAAGACGGUCUUGCUGUCACUUAUAGAUGGACCCGCGCUGCAUUAGCUAGUUGGUAAGGUAACGGCUUACCAAGGCAACGAUGCAUAGCCGACCUGAGAGGGUGAUCGGCCACACUGGAACUGAGACACGGUCCAGACUCCUACGGGAGGCAGCAGUAGGGAAUCUUCCGCAAUGGGCGAAAGCCUGACGGAGCAACGCCGCGUGAGUGAUGAAGGUCUUCGGAUCGUAAAACUCUGUUAUUAGGGAAGAACAUAUGUGUAAGUAACUGUGCACAUCUUGACGGUACCUAAUCAGAAAGCCACGGCUAACUACGUG
rnacentral:rRNA from 1 species